UACGAAGGGGACUAGCGUUAUCCGGAUUCACUGGGUUUAAAGGGUGCGUAGGUGGGCUAGUAAGUCCGUGGUGAAAUCUCCAAGCUUAACUUGGAAACUGCCGUGGAUACUAUUAGUCUUGAAUGUUGUGGAGGUAAGCGGAAUAUGUCAUGUAGCGGUGAAAUGCUUAGAUAUGACAUAGAACACCGAUAGCGGAGGCAGCUUGCUACACAAUGAUUGACACUGAGGCACGAAAGCGUGGGGAUCAAACAGG
rnacentral:rRNA from 1 species